UACGUAGGCAGCAAGCGUUGUUCGGAGUUACUGGGCGUAAAGGGUGCGUAGGCGGUUGUUUAAGUUUGGUGUGAAAUCUCCCGGCUCAACUGGGAGGGUGCGCCGAAUACUGAAUGACUAGAGUGCGGGAGAGGAGAGUGGAAUUCCUGGUGUAGCGGUGAAAUGCGUAGAUAUCAGGAGGAACACCGGUGGUGUAGACGGCUCUCUGGACCGUAACUGACGCUGAGGCACGCAAGCGUGGGUAGCAAACAGG
rnacentral:rRNA from 1 species